rnacentral:lncRNA from 1 species
GCCUGACCACUUCUCUAAGGUUAAGAGGUCCAAAUUGUGCCCAUUUGUAUAGAUACUGUAAAUAGACUGUGUAUUCUGAGAAGAGCAGAUGAUAGAGAAGAGAAUAGAGAAGAUGAUAGAGAAGAUGAUAGAGAAGAGAAUAGAGAAGAGGAUAGAGAAGAUGAUAGAGAAGAGGAUAGAGAAGAUGAUAGAGAAGAGGAUAGAGAAGAGGAUAGAGAAGAGGAUAGAGAAGAGGAUAGAGAAGAUGAUAGAGAAGAGAAUAGAGAAGAUGAUAGAGAAGAUGAUAGAGAAGAUGAUAGAGAAGAGAAUAGAGAAGAUGAUAGAGAAGAUGAUAGAGAAGGGAAUAGAGAAGAUGAUAGAGAAGAGAAUAGAGAAGAGGAUAGAGAAGAUGAUAGAGAAGAGAAUAGAGAAGAUGAUAGAGAAGAGAAUAGAGAAGAUGAUAGAGAAGAUGAUAGAGAAGGGAAUAGAGAAGAUAAUAGAGAAGAUGAUAGAGAAGAGGAUAGAGAAGAUGAUAGAGAAGAGAAUAGAGAAGAUAAUAGAGAAGAGAAUAGAGAAGAUGAUAGAGAAGAUGAUAGAGAAGGGAAUAGAGAAGAUGAUAGAGAAGAUGAUAGAGAAGAUGAUAGAGAAGGGAAUAGAGAAGAGGAUAGAGCAGGGGGAUAGAGAAGAGGAUAGAGCAGGGGAUAGAGAAGAGGAUAGAGUAGGGGAUAGAGAAGAGGAUAGAGCAGGG